rnacentral:rRNA from 1 species
AACGAACGCUGGCGGCAUGCUUAACACAUGCAAGUCGAGCGGGGUUUUCGGACCUAGCGGCGGACGGGUGAGUAAUGCGUAGGAAGCUGCCCGAUAGAGGGGGAUACCAGUUGGAAACGACUGUUAAUACCGCAUAAUGUCUACGGACCAAAGUGUGGGACCUUCGGGCCACAUGCUAUCGGAUGCGCCUACGUGGGAUU